UACGGGGGGGCAAGCGUUGUUCGGAAUUACUGGGCGUAAAGGGCUCGUAGGUGGCCAACUAAGUCAGACGUGAAAUCCCCCGGCUUAACCGGGGAACUGCGUCUGAUACUGGUUGGCUUGAGUUGGGAGAGGGAUGCGGAAUUCCAGGUGUAGCGGUGAAAUGCGUAGGAUAUCUGGAGGAACACCGGUGGCGAAGGCGGCAUCCUCGGACCAAUAGUGACGCCUGAGGAGCGAAAGCCAGG
rnacentral:rRNA from 1 species